CCUACGGGAGGCAGCAGUGAGGAAUAUUGGUCAAUGGGCGCGAGCCUGAACCCGCCAAGUCGCGUGAGGGAAGACGGUCCUAUGGAUUGUAAACCUCUUUUGUCGGGGAGCAAAAGACGCCACGUGUGGCUUUCCGCGAGUACCCGCACAACACGCAUCGGCAAACUCCGUGCCAGAAGCCGCGGUAAUACGGGGGAGACGAGGGUUAUCGGGAUUUAUUGGGUUUAAAGGGUGCGCAGGCGGAAGAUCAAGUCAGCGGUAAAAUUGAGGGGCUAAACCUGUUCGAGCGGUUGAUACUGGCUGGCUUGAGAUGUCGAGAGGUAGGCGGAAUGCGAGGUGUAGCGGUGAAAUGCUUAGAUAUUGGGAAGAACUCCGAUUGCGAAGGCAGCAUACCGGCGGCGAUCUGACGCUGAGGCACGAAAGCGUGGGUAUCGAACAGGAUUAGAUACCCGGGUAGUC
rnacentral:rRNA from 1 species